CCCCUUCUUGGUGAUAGCCCCUUUCGGACGCCCUCGUGUACGAGAAAUGGGUCCUGUCGUCCCAGUCAAAGUUAGCACAGCGUUGUUGUCAGUCAUAACAGCAAGCGGCUGAACAACCAGAGGUGCAGAAGUCCUCUUGUGUUCCUGCUCAACUAUCUCAAUUUGGCUCUUUUCGUCAUCUGAACCAGACUGUUCUAUAUCCUUUCUACCCUGACUGUCCUGAGGGAUGCAAGCAUCUGAAGCUCGGCCUCCAUCAGAAGGCGGCUUGUCC
rnacentral:lncRNA from 1 species